rnacentral:rRNA from 1 species
ACGCCAGUCUGCAUGGAGCCGACCUUGAAAUACCACCCUUUAAUGUUUGAUGUUCUAACGUUGACCCGUAAUCCGGGUUGCGGACAGUGUCUGGUGGGUAGUUUGACUGGGGCGGUCUCCUCCUAAAGAGUAACGGAGGAGCACGAAGGUUGGCUAAUCCUGGUCGGACAUCAGGAGGUUAGUGCAAUGGCAUAAGCCAGCUUGACUGCGAGCGUGACGGCGCGAGCAGGUGCGAAAGCAGGUCAUAGUGAUCCGGUGGUUCUGAAUGGAAGGGCCAUCGCUCAACGGAUAAAAGGUACUCCGGGGAUAACAGGCUGAUACCGCCCAAGAGUUCAUAUCGACGGCGGUGUUUGGCACCUCGAUGUCGGCUCAUCACAUCCUGGGGCUGAAGUAGGUCCCAAGGGUAUGGCUGUUCGCCAUUUAAAGUGGUACGCGAGCUGGGUUUAGAACGUCGUGAGACAGUUCGGUCCCUAUCUGCCGUGGGCGCUGGAGAACUGAGGGGGGCUGCUCCUAGUACGAGAGGACCGGAGUGGACGCAUCACUGGUGUUCGGGUUGUCAUGCCAAUGGCACUGCCCGGUAGCUAAAUGCGGAAGAGAUAAGUGCUGAAAGCAUCUAAGCACGAAACUUGCCCCGAGAUGAGUUCUCCCUGACUCCUUGAGAGUCCUGAAGGAACGUUGAAGACGACGACGUUGAUAGGCCGGGUGUGUAAGCGCAGCGAUGCGUUGAGCUAACCGGUACUAAUGAACCGUGAGGCUUAACCUUACAACGCCGAAGCUGUU